UACGAAGGGGGCUAGCGUUGUUCGGAUUUACUGGGCGUAAAGCGCACGUAGGCGGGUCGUUAAGUCAGGGGUGAAAUCCCGGAGCUCAACUCCGGAACUGCCUUUGAUACUGGCGACCUUGAGGCUGGAAGAGGUUAGUGGAAUUCCCAGUGUAGAGGUGAAAUUCGUAGAUAUCGGGAGGAACACCAGUGGCGAAGGCGGCGACCUGGACGGACACUGACGCUGAGACGCGAAAGCGUGGGGAGCAAACAGG
rnacentral:rRNA from 1 species